UUAAAUGAAUUGACGGGGAGCACCACAACGGGUGGAGCUUGCGGUUUAAUUGGAUUCAACGCCGGAAAUCUUACCGGGACCGACAGCAAUAUGAAGGCCAGGCUGAAGACUUUGCCGGAUUAGCUGAGAGGUGGUGCAUGGCCGUCGUCAGUUCGUACUGUGAAGCAUCCUGUUAAGUCAGGCAACGAGCGAGACCCACGCCCACAGUUGCCAGCGUACUCUCUGGAGUGACGGGUACACUGUGGGGACCGCCGCUGCUAAAGCGGAGGAAGGAAUGGGCAACGGUAGGUCAGUAUGCCCCGAAUAUCCCGGGCUACACGCGAGCUACAGUGGUUGGUACAAUGGGUAUCUACCCCGAAAGGGGACGGGAAUCUCCUAAAACCAAUCUUAGUUCGGAUUGAGGGCUGCAACUCGCCCUCAUGAAGCUGGAAUCCGUAGUAAUCGCGUUUCAACAGAACGCGGUGAAUACGUCCCUGCUCCUU
rnacentral:rRNA from 1 species